rnacentral:rRNA from 1 species
UACGUAGGGGGCAAGCGUUGUUCGGAAUGGCUGGGCGUAAAGGGUGCGUAGGCGGUGUAGCAAGUUAGAAGUGAAAUACCUAGAGCUUAACUCAGGUGCUGCUUCUAAAACUGCUAUACUUGAGUGCAGUAGAGGAAAGUGGAAUUCCUAGUGUAGCGGUGGAAUGCGUAGAUAUUAGGAGGAACAUCAGUGGCGAAGGCGACUUUCUGGACUGUAACUGACGCUGAGGCACGAAAGUGUGGGGAGCAAACAGG